rnacentral:rRNA from 1 species
AUUGAACGCUGGCGGCAUGCCUUACACAUGCAAGUCGAACGGCAGCACGGGAGCAAUCCUGGUGGCGAGUGGCGAACGGGUGAGUAAUAUAUCGGAACGUGCCCAGUCGUGGGGAUAACGUAGCGAAAGCUACGCUAAUACCGCAUACGAUCUACGGAUGAAAGCGGGGGAUCGCAAGACCUCGCGCGAUUGGAGCGGCCGAUAUCAGAUUAGGUAGUUGGUGAGGUAAAGGCUCACCAAGCCGACGAUCUGUAGCUGGUCUGAGAGGACGACCAGCCACACUGGGACUGAGACACGGCCCAGACUCCUACGGGAGGCAGCAGUGGGGAAUUUUGGACAAUGGGCGCAAGCCUGAUCCAGCAAUGCCGCGUGCAGGAUGAAGCU